rnacentral:rRNA from 1 species
ACCUAUUGACCUCGGAUCAGGUAGGGA